UCGGGAGGGCGCUUACCACUUUGUGAUUCAUGACUGGGGUGAAGUCGUAACAAGGUAACCGUAGGGGAACCUGCGGUUGGAUCACCUCCUUACC
rnacentral:rRNA from 1 species